rnacentral:lncRNA from 1 species
GAAGCUCCUUUCAGAUAGAGACAAGGGAUAUUUGACUUCUUAUCUCUGUUGUCCAGCACAAUGUCCAGAACACAACAGAUAUUCCAUAUGCACAGUCACAUGCUAUGUAUGUGUAUUUUCUUUCCAGAAAGGACUAGAGGUCCUAAGCUUUGUUAAUAUCAUGAGCCAGUGCCCACAUGAGCAGGAGAAUUUUAGCACAGUCACCUACACACUCAUUUCGAUGCUCUGACCCCUUAUCCAAGCCAGUCAAAGUGUGGUCUAUGGUUUUGCAUUUUAAAGAGAUCCCUGGGUGAAUCUUGUGCAUGUUACAGGGAAGCACUGUCCUACAUCCUAUGUGACAGGCUCUCAUAGUCACCAUCAUCAUGGGAAUCUUGCACAUGUUACAGGGAAGCACUGUCCUACAUCAUAUGUGACAGGCUCUCAUAGUCACCAUCAUCACGGGAAUCUUGCACAUGUUACAGGGAAGCACUGUCCUACAUCGUAUGUGACAGGCUCUCAUAAUCACCAUCAUCAUGUGAUCUUGUGCAUGUUACAGGGAAGCACUGUUCUACAUCGUAUCUGACAGGCUCUCAUAGUCACCGUCAUCACGGGAAUCUUGUGCAUGUUACAGGGAAGCACUGUCCUACAUCGUAUCUGACAGGCUCUCAUAGUCACCGUCAUCACGGGAAUCUUGCACAUGUUACAGGGAAGCACCGUCCUACAUCAUAUGUGACAGGCUCUCAUAGUCACCAUCAUCACAGGAAUCUUGUGCAUGUUACAGGGAAGGCUCUCAUAAUCACCAUCAUCACGGGAAUCUUGUGCAUGUUGCAGGGAAGCACUGUCCUACAUCAUAUGUGACAGGCUCUCAUAGUCACCAUCAUCACGGGAAGCUGCAUUUAGAGCAUUUAACUGUAUGGGCUCUGAAAUCAGAUGACUUAGGUUUGGGCUUGCCUCUACUUCUUACUAAGCAGAGAACUUUGGGGCAUGAUACUUAAUUUUACUAGGCUCAGUUUUAUCAUGUGUAAAUUGGAGGCAAGGGGAAAUUAUAGCAUUUUGCAUAGAAUAUUGUUUUAAGUAUGAA